GACGAACGCUGGCGGCGUGCUUAACACAUGCAAGUCGAACGAAGAGCGAUGGAAGCUUGCUUCUAUCAAUCUUAGUGGCGAACGGGUGAGUAACGCGUAAUCAACCUGCCCUUCAGAGGGGGACAACAGUUGGAAACGACUGCUAAUACCGCAUACGAUCUAAACUCGGCAUCGAGGAUAGAUGAAAGGUGGCCUCUACAUGUAAGCUAUCACUGAAGGAGGGGAUUGCGUCUGAUUAGCUAGUUGGAGGGGUAACGGCCCACCAAGGCGAUGAUCAGUAGCCGGUCUGAGAGGAUGAACGGCCACAUUGGGACUGAGACACGGCCCAGACUCCUACGGGAGGCAGCAGUGGGGAAUCUUCCGCAAUGGACGAAAGUCUGACGGAGCAACGCCGCGUGAGUGAUGACGGCCUUCGGGUUGUAAAGCUCUGUUAAUCGGGACGAAAGGCCUUCUUGCGAAUAGUGAGAAGGAUUGACGGACCGGAAUAGAAAGCCACGCAAUC
rnacentral:rRNA from 1 species